GGUGCUAUAGUGUAGUGGUCAUCACUCGGGAUUUUGAUGACUGGAUGAUCCGUCAGAACAUUGAUUUCCCGAAACCCAGGUUCGAACCCUGGUAGCACCU